rnacentral:rRNA from 1 species
AUUGAACGCUGGCGGCAUGCCUUACACAUGCAAGUCGAACGGCAGCACGGGUGCUUGCACCUGGUGGCGAGUGGCGAACGGGUGAGUAAUACAUCGGAACGUACCUUAUCGUGGGGGAUAACGCAGCGAAAGCUGUGCUAAUACCGCAUACGCCCUGAGGGGGAAAGCGGGGGAUCGAAAGACCUCGCGCGAUUAGAGCGGCCGAUGCCUGAUUAGCUUGUUGGUGGGGUAAAAGCCCACCAAGGCGACGAUCAGUAGCUGGUCUGAGAGGACGAGCAGCCACACUGGGACUGAGACACGGCCCAGACUCCUACGGGAGGCAGCAGUGGGGAAUUUUGGACAAUGGGGGCAACCAUGAUCCAGCAAUGCCGCGUGAGUGAAGAAGGCCUUCGGGUUGUAGAGCUCUUUUGUCAGGGAAGAAACACCGGCUCUAACACAGUCCGGGAAUGACGGUACCUGAAGAAUAAGCACCGGCUAACUACGUGCCAGCAGCCGCCGUAA